CUCUGAUAUACAAAUCUUCUGAAAACUUUAAUAUUAUCAAGGUUUAUAACAGACUUAUUAUUAGAAUUGAGACUCUCUUCAGGUAUUUUAAUAUUACAGUUGCAAUUAAGUGAAUUAACACACAGUACAUAAUUUGUAAUUGUUUUUGUUCUUGAAAAUUGCCCUUUCCACGCGCUCUUUCAACCAUCAGAAACAUAAUAGCGUUAAACGGCUAACUUAUGCUGGAGAAACCACAAAUGUCUCUACAUUUAAAGCUUUUUCAAACUGGCACAGAGGCCAGAAUGGACAAGAUUACAAUUAAUUGUGACAUUUUUCUUCGACAACAGCACUCUUCGCGGCUCCUGCCGGCUCUAUACUGACCCUGUUUCACACGCAAUAUUUUCCUUAUUCAGUCGCUAACACACCUUUUGUAUCCCACUAUGAAGAACAUCAACAUUUCCACCAAAACCCCGAAAAAAUCAUCAUUUUAUAGACGAAACAAUAAAAUAUUUCAAACAAUUUGUUCUGCUUUUGGCAACGCAUGCGCAGUUCGGUCGACA